UUUUAAUUUUGAUAAAUUCAUUUUGUAAGUAGCUAAUGUAGUUGGUUGUUUUUAAGGCUGAAAGCCUGUUGGAGAAUUAGGUUAACAAAGGGUGAAGGUGAAGAUCAUUACAGGUUUCAGAAUUGGCUGAGAUGGGUUGCUGAGGCUGUGCAACUGUGCCCAGAGGGCGGGGUUCCAGUACAUUCCUACUUCAGCAGAUAACCUGUCCCCAGCACUAUUCCAGCUUCUACCAGACAGAUGGAAACCUCCAAAGGAAAAUCUGCACAGCCCUUCUAAAGCAGGGUUCUGCUCGGUGUUUUCGGAAGGCUGCUGAGGACUUGAGAACUGUGAACACUCUCACCAGGAAAUCGAGCUUUACUCCUCCUUGGUACAAGGAAGGCUGGCAUGACCAACCACUUCACAUCAGAGGGUACCUGUCCACCAGUGUGCUGACACCGUACCAUGAAAGAAUUUUCAAGUAGAGAGCAGCCCCUCUGUAGUCACAUGUCCUUGGAGAAAAUUGCUUCAUCAUUCUUCAGAAAGAAAAAAAAAAAUAGAUUCCCUUAGAAUCUUCUAGUCUCAGGAUGACCAGAUAGAACUUUAUGUUUAAUUAGAUUUCUUCCAUGCUUAAAUUUUUGCUCAUCUUCUUAUCUUCUAGUUCCACAAAUAAAAAUAAAAAGUUAAUAAAUGAAUAAAAUUGUUUUGGUCUCAGUGAAUCAAUUGAGGCUUGGCUGAAUCAGCCCAAGUUUGGGGAGCUGCAUGGGACUACAAUUUACCUUAUUAUUGCAUUUAUUACUUCCUCAUGAUAUAGGUUUUAUGUGUGGGUCAAAACUUCUCUCCACAUUUGUCUAAUUGGAAAAGAGAAUAAAAGUGUUGUAUCACUGG